CCUACGGUGCGCUGCAGUGGGGAAUAUUGGGCAAUGGGCGCAAGCCUGACCCAGCAACGCCGCGUGAAGGAAGAAGGCUUUCGGGUUGUAAACUUCUUUUCUCAGGGACGAAGCAAGUGACGGUACCUGAGGAAUAAGCCACGGCUAACUACGUGCCAGCCGCCGGGGUAAUACGUAGGUGGAAAGGGUUAUCCGGAUUUACUGGGUGUAAAGGGCGUGUAGGCGGGAAAGCAAGUCAGAUGUGAACACCAUGGGCUCAACCUGUGGCCUGCAUUUGAUACUGUUUUUCUUGAGUACGGGAGAGGCAGACGGAAUUCCGAGUGUAGCGGUGAAAUGCGUAGAUAUUAGGAGGAACACCAGUGGCGAAGGCGGUCUGCUGGACAGCAACUGACGCUGAGGGGCGAAAGCGUGGGGAGCAAACAGGAUUAGAUACCCGAGUAGUC
rnacentral:rRNA from 1 species